rnacentral:lncRNA from 1 species
CAGAGUCCGGCUUUGGGGCACCCCACAAAUGUUGGCUGAGCGAAAGCAGGAAUGAACAGCAACUAACCCAGUUUGACUGGUCCGGCCUGCUGAUCUCAUUCCCCAGGAGUCCCACUGCCCGAGGAUCACGAAGACCAUGGUCUGGAUGAAGUGGGUUUCUCAGCCACAAGGAAACAUUGAAAGAUUACAAUGGGAAGCUGUGCGCUGCUUCCUUUCCACUUGACUUCCAGAUGUGUGAAACUGGGCGAGCUUCCUCUUUUCCUGCAGAGCUUGAAUUCUGUGAAGGGGCAGUGUGGGCUCUGUCAGAACCACGCCCUCCACGCCCCCCACCUUCUCUCCAGAGAAAAGGCAAACAAGUGUGAACAGCCAGGAGGUGAAGAGGAGACAGCCAAGAACAAAUGCGAGCCACAGCCACACAAUCCCCUUUGCGGGGCUGCUGUCCACAAAGGGGAGGAUGAGAUGGACCCCAAAUGAGGGGCCUCAUUCACCUCCUCGCAGCUACAAAGAGGGGACCUUCAGAAGCCCUCUGCCUGGACUAGCUCCCCCCCCCCCCCCCCCCCCCCCCCCCCCCCCCCCCCCCCCCCCCCNGCGAUGUGAUGGACAGCUCCCAGACCUCAGUGAUGUCACAUGAUACAAUCCAGGGCGGGUCACAGGAAACUGCUCCACGCAGGCCUCCAGGGACCCAGGCUCCUUCUGUCUUGUGGUUCCACAGUCCCCGGGGCCGUGGAGUUCUCUGCUGGACCAUCUGUGUCCAGCUGAAAAUGUAAGAGGAGAGAGGCCGGAGGAUUAUGUGGAAGGUUUCCUAGGCCAAGGCUGGAGGGGCCUAUACCACCUUCCUCCACAUGAAGCAUCAGGGGGACGGGGAGAUGUGGUCUCCAGGCGUUAGAGGCUGAACUGUGUCCCCCUCACCCCAAAAGAUAUCUUCAAGUCCUAACUCUCAGUAUCUUAGAACAUGACCUUGUUUGGAAAUAGGGUCUUUACAGAGGUGAUCAAAUUAAAAUGAGGUCAUCAGAGUGGGUCCUAAUCCAACAGGACCAGUGUCCUUAUCCAAAAGGAAAAUUUGGGAGUUCCCACUGUGGCUCAGCAAUAACAAAUGAGACAAGUAUCCAUGAGGAUGUGGCUUCAAUCCCUGGCCUCGCUCAGUGGGUUAAGGAUCUGGUGUUGCCAUGAGCUGUAGUGUAAGUGGCAGACACAGCUUGGAUCCUGAGUUGCUGUGUCUGUGGCAAAGGCCAGCAGCUGCGACUCCGAUUCAACCCUAGCCUGGUAUGCUGCAGGUGCUGGCCCUAAAAAGACCAAAAAAAAAAGAAAAGAAAAAA